rnacentral:lncRNA from 1 species
UGUCAAUCAAAUGGAGCUGUCAAUCAACCCGGGCUGUCAAUCAAAUGGAGCUGUCAAUCAAACUGGGCUGUCAAUCAACCCGGGCUGUCAAUCAAAUGGGGCUGUCAAUCAAAUGGAGCUGUCAAUCAAAUGGAGCUGUCAAUCAGGUGGAGCUGUCAAUCAGCCGGGGCUGUCAAUCAUCCGAGCCGGUGUUAGGGGUCAAUCCGAGCUGUCAAUCACAGGCGUCAGUCGGCCAAUCAGAGGGUGAGGUGGGGCUGUCAAUCAAAGGGGAGAGCUGUCAGUCACAGGGAGCUGUCAAUCAAAGCCAACUGUCUAUCAAGAGGGCUGUCAAUCGCAGCUGUCAAUCAAAUUGAGCUGUCAAUCAAGGAAAAUUUGAGCUGUCAAUCAAAUAGAGAGGCCCAGUAGAGCUGUCAAUCAAUUCUAUCAAUCAAAUGGAGCUGUCAAUCAAAGACUCGUUCAUAAAAUUGUGCUGUCAAUCAAAUAUAUUAAUCAAAUAGAGAUGUCAAUCAAACAUAGAGCAUCAAAUUGAGCUGUCAAUCAAACAGCCAUCACUCUAAUGGGGUUGUCAAUCAAUUAUAUAUAUCAAAUUGAGCUGUCAAUCAAAGGGCUAUCAAUCAAAUUGAGCUGUCAAUCAAGCAUAAAUUGUCAAAUUGAGCUGUCAAUCAAAUAGAGAGGCCCAAUAGAGCUGUCAAUCAAUGAACUAUCAAUCAAAUUGAGCUGUCAAUCGAAGAGCUAUCAAUCAAAUAGAGCUGUCAAUCAAAGACUCAUUCAUAAAACGGAGCUGUCAAUCAAAUCUAUCCAUCAAUAGAGCUGUCAAUCAAACAUAAGACGUCAAAUUGAGCUGUCAAUCAAACAGCCAUCACUCUAAUGGGGUUGUCAAUCAAUUAUAUAUAUCAAAUUGAGCUGUCAAUCAAAGGGAUAUCAAUCAAAUUGAGCUGUCAAUCAAAGACUCAUUCAUAAAAUUGUGCUGUCAAUCAAACUUAUCCCUAAAACUGAGCUGUCAAUUGAAGGGGUAUCGAUCAAAUUGAGCUGUCAAUCAAAGAGCUAUUGAUCAAACUGAGCUGUCAAUCAAAUAUAUCAAAUAGAGCUGUCAAUCAAACAUAGAUUAUCAAAUUGAGCUGUCAAUCAAAGGGAUAUCGAUCAAUUUGAGCUGUCAAUCAAAGAGCUAUCAAUCAAUUGGAGCUGUCAAUCAAUUCUAUCCAUCACAUCGAGCUGUCAAUCAAACACAAGGGAUCAAAUCGAGCUGUCAAUCAAAGACACUCACCGGCCCCUCCUCACCGGGGGGGGUCUCUGGCCGUGGGGGGGGGCUCCUCGUCC